rnacentral:lncRNA from 1 species
UCUCUCCUUCUCCAGCGUCCAGCAGGGCAUGGCAGCUGCACUGUGUUCAGGCCUUCUGGAUGACCUUCUGAAAAACAGCACCUGUCUUCCUCGCCAGGAUCUGCUGCUGGGCACUGGUUAUUUACUUAAGAAAGGAUCUGUGAACUGGCAGAAGUACGAUGGAGGCCACCUACUUUAAGUUGGUUGUUUGCACUCCUGUAUGUCCCCUCCAUCCUGCUGUUAAAGCCAGUCUGACCCCCUCCAGCACGUCAUCUCGCCUGAGAGCUGAAGUUAAGGGAAUGUAACGUCACCAAACGGAUGUGGCCUCAGCAAGUAACUUCAUAGCUUAAUUAGGAACUCAGUCCCAAGUAAAACUUUAAAGAGGCCAAGAAAAAGAGAAACGGAAAGUGAGGAGACACGAGUUUUGGAUGUGAGGAAUAAUCCUAGUCUAUCACGUGUGCUGUGCAUCCCUGGUACUGCAGAAGGUAUUUUAUGGCAGGAAAGAUCCUAAGAGUUAAUGCUGAAUUCCUAUGUGACAGAAGAGAAACAAUGGAGAUAAUUCAGAGCCUUGUCAUCAAGCUAACAAGGAGCUUCCAGAAAAUGCCGUGUGUGCACAUCUCCUGCAGCGGCUCCUCACUUUUCCCACGUCACUGACAUUUUGGGAGGAUCCGAUAAAGCUUAUGAAGCCUCUGCCCAAACAAGUGGCAUGUAUACCAUGGGGGCUCAUGGGCCACUUGGAGCUCAACUACGAAUCCACGAGUGGUUUAUGGCCCUCAGUAGAAGGGGCUGUCUGCAAGUGUUCCCUUGGAGAAAUUUGCAGAGUCACAUUGCUUGGUGGAAUGCUAGCCCAAGAAUUAUUUUGUUUGUGUCGUGAAAAAUGACGCCCUGGCUUCGAGAAUCAGGCUUUUGUCAUGAAUAGCAGCUUCAUGCUCGUGAAGACUGAAAUGGAUUGAUUGGUUUGAGUACUUAUUAAAAUGCCUUAAGAAUAAAUGUUUUUUUCUUCUUAAAGAACAUCUAUGAUAAAAUAUUUAUAAAUAUUUAAAUAUA